rnacentral:rRNA from 1 species
GGAAUAUUGCACAAUGGAGGAAACUCUGAUGCAGUGACACCGCGUAUAGGAAGAAGGUUUUCGGAUUGUAAACUAUUUUAGACAGGGAAGAAAAAAGACAGUACCUGUAGAAUAAGCCCCGGCUAACUACGUGCCAGCAGCCGCGGUAAUACGUAGGGGGCAAGCGUUAUCCGGAAUUACUGGGUGUAAAGGGAGCGUAGACGGUGAUGUAAGUCUGGAGUGAAAGGCGGGGGCCCAACCCCCGGACUGCUCUGGAAACUAUGUGACUGGAGUGCAGGAGAGGUGAGCGGAAUUCCUAGUGUAGCGGUGAAAUGCGUAGAUAUUAGGAGGAACACCAGUGGCGAAGGCGGCUCACUGGACUGUAACUGACGUUGAGGCUCGAAAGCGUGGGGAGCAAACAG